rfam:Ovis aries breed Texel chromosome 2, whole genome shotgun sequence.
UCCCUGGUGGCUCAGAUGGUAAAGCAUCUGUCUACAAUUUGGGAGACCCAGGUUUGAUUCCUGGGUUGGGAA